CAAAGCUCCUGCAGCCUUAGUUGGAGUCCAUAAUGACGGGAGUCUUCCAGCUGUACACUCUGAGCUGAAAACUACCUUUCCUCCCCUUUUGCAGCCUGUGUGGUUCUGAUUGCUGGCAGUUCUCUAAUACAGCUUUAAUCUGAGCAGUUGAGGCUGGUCCCACCUUACCUUCAGACGUCUUGCGGAGGACUCCUGUUACCAGUUUGGUACUCAAAAGCUACACCCCACCAUGAGAAGUCAAUUAUUUUUUAAAAGGCAGUGAUAGAUUACUGUCUCUAGUUCUAAUGGAAAAAUUAUAUUGCAAUGCAACUUUAUAAUAAAUUGUUCAUAUAUUCAUAAUUCCGUGGCAAUCCCAAAUCGGAGGACGGAUCUGUUAAAGGUGUGCGUUUUUGAACAGUGUUGUUACAAGUCCCACCACCCCACUUUCACAUCAGCUUAUGCCAGUGCCAGGAUGGGAG
rnacentral:lncRNA from 1 species